GACGAACGCUGGCGGCGUGCUUAACACAUGCAAGUCGAACGGAAAGGCCCUGCUUUUGUGGGGUGCUCGAGUGGCGAACGGGUGAGUAACACGUGAGUAACCUGCCCUUGACUUUGGGAUAACUUCAGGAAACUGGGGCUAAUACCGGAUAGGAGCUCCUGCUGCAUGGUGGGGGGUGGAAAGUUUCGGCGGUUGGGGAUGGACUCGCGGCUUAUCAGUUUGUUGGUGGGGGAGUGGCUUACCAAGGCUUUGACGGGUAGCCGGCCUGAGAGGGUGACCGGCCACAUUGGGACUGAGAUACGGCCCAGACUCCUACGGGAGGCAGCAGUGGGGAAUAUUGCACAAUGGGCGGAAGCCUGAUGCAGCAACGCCGCGUGCGGGAUGACGGCCUUCGGGUUGUAAACCGCUUUCGCCUGUGACGAAGCGUGAGUGACGGUAAUGGGUAAAGAAGCACCGGCUAACUACGUG
rnacentral:rRNA from 1 species